CCCAUUGAUAUUCCAUGAUAAAGCCAUAGAUAAUUAACACAAAAAGAAAAUGGAGAUAAGAGUUAUCAGCAGCAGUCGGAUUUAUUUGAAACAUUAUUAUAGAUACUAAAUCUGAAGGUUUAACGGGUUUAGCUAUGAAAAGAAUACGAUAAGUUGAUGCGGCAAUUAUUUGGUUAUUAAUUCUAAUCAUGUUAAACAAAAUUGUGUAAAAUCUACUUGUGUUUUUGGUUUGGUUGACUUUUGAAACGGUUACUUAACCUCGUUAACCUAAAAAUUUUCCAAUACUUUACCAGCAUUAAAAAGUAUAGUUUGCAGAAAAUGACUCGAAGUUUAAAAGUUUUUGAAAACUUAAACAGAAAAAAUAUUAUAGUAGAAACCUUUCAAUGCAAGAAACGAGUUUUAAAAGUUAUUGUGAGAGACAAAUCGGUGUAUCGCCAUCGAAAGAAAAUCACGAUUUUAACUGCAAUUGCUAUUUUAAACUUGUAUUGCUAUCACAAAGAAACCUUAGAUUUAUUCACAUGUGCUGUUAUUCAGUUUAUCGUGCUUUAUUUCAACUGCAAAAUAUUUUUUCGGGUACAGAAAGAUUUUAGAAACAUUGCUUGUAAUCAAGUCGUUAGGCAUUCAGUUGGAAUCACAUAGCAUGUUACGAACUUCUACCUUAUUUAUUCCAUGGGUCGAUGUGAAGGAUGUGGUUAUUAACGAAGUGAUAUCAAUGCAAAGGGUACUUUAUAUGUUAAUUAUUAUUACAAAAACUCCAAUCAAAAGUAUAAAAGGAAAGCAAAUAAUACCUUUAUUUUAUGAGUUUUCUCCAAGGUUGGCAUGCCUAGAGUUCAUUUAUAGCAGGAUAGAAGCAUUAAGAGAGUGUUAAAAAGAAUUAUUUGAAUGACAACAUAAAACUGUGAUUUUUUUUGUAUACCUAAGAAUGAGUUACAGAUCAUACUUGUUGCCUUCUAGAAAUAAUAAGUUUUACUUAUUAAUGGAAUUUUUACUCUUUUUUUUUAUUUAUAAUUACAUAUAUUGUGUACAUUUUCUCAUAUUGUUUGUAAAUAUGGCUUUCUGUUAUUACUGUCCUAAAACCAUUUGAUACAUGCGCAGGAACACAGAAAAUAUGUGUAAGAAUGUCAUUUAAUGCUGAUAACAUUUAAUGAUGCUUUAAUAAAACCAUAAAUUAUUAAUGAUUAUAUAUUUGUUAUCAGUGAAAUUUUUAUCAGUUGAAUUGUUAUCAGAAGUUGAAGUAGUAAUUUCUAAAGAAAAGUGUAGUAAUUAGUCAUUCUGUUUCUUUGUUUAAAAUUGUUAAAUUAUAUUUAAGUUUUGGAUUUAAUAAAACAU